UAUGACAUAUGCAUAUUCUUGAACACUCACCCCGCCGUUGAAGUUGUCCUCAAACGUGAAUCAGCACAUUGAAAUUGCCUGGGACUGUCGAGGUGGACCCUAAAAGGAAGGAAAUCUCAGAGCGAGGAAGUUUCCAAUCAGAGCGCUUCAAAAGGAAAUAUAAACCUUAGCUGUAAUCGAAUACGCCACGAUAGUUCUUCUGUUUCUACGUUGAAUUCGUUCGAAAGGACCGAUAAAGAAAUAAAUAUUCCUCCACGAGGCGUUUAAUCAGUUCUUAUCUCAGCUUUUGCAAUGAGUUACCCACCUCAACCACCGCCGUACAAUCCAACAGCUCCUCAGCCGAACGCUGGAGUUGAUUUCGAACUAUAUCAACAAGGAACUCCAUAUCCUCCGCCGCCAUAUUCAGCACCAUAUCCUCAACAACAGUACGGCGGGCCUCCUCCACAGCCAGGCUAUCCUCCGCAGCAGGGCUAUCAACAGCCUUAUGGUCAGCCACAGUAUGUCUACACAAACCAGCCUAAAACUGUUUACGUUUAUGAUCAAAAUGGGAGACGUAGACAAGACAACAGUGAUGCUGCAGACUGCUUUCUGUUAGGGCUAUGUGCUGCAUGUCUGUGCUGUUGUGUUCUCGACUAAUUACAGUGACAUUUGAACGUGUUUAUGUACGUUACAUAAUAGGUUUUCUAUCUGUUAGCUCUAACUUGCUUCGAGAAAGCCUGUGGGUAGUUUCAUAAAUUCAGAAAAGAACAGAACUUGUGAUAUAAAAUUGUGUAUGUACGUGUGUGCGUGUAAGUAAUAUUAUAUUCUCAGAAUUCUAAAUAUUGCAUAAUUAUAGAUCUGAAGUUUAUCAUGUUGCUAGUUUCCAAUGCAAAUGUAAUGUGAUGUAGUAGCAGGUUGUGAUUCCAUAUAUGGCAGAACAGAUGAAUCUUUUAAAAUACAACGAUAAACGAAAAAUAUAUGGUGUAAAUGUGUGACAAAGUUUCCCAAGAAGCUGAAUUAGAGGGAAAUUGGGGAAGAAAACGUUUCUAGUUUUUUUCUAAGGAUUCUUCCGAAUUUUCAUAAUCAUUGAUUCAAACCAUAAAAGUAUAUUGUAAGCCAUUUUGUCUAAAAUUAAUUUUAGAUUAAGAUUGCAGUGUUCAGGUAUGCUUAGUGUUCAAAAUUUAGAAUAUUAAAGUACAACUUUGCUCAACAUAAAAACAAAUUGCACCAUGCAGGUGUGAAGACGAAGAGUUUUUCAAUCAAAACCUGCAUAUUGAGCUUUUAUGGAGUAGAGAGCUCCUGAAAGGUUUUGUUCGAAAUAGAGAAUUUUUCACUCCUUUAAAUAUCUGCUCAUAGAUCAUGAAUUAGUCAAUAAAAACUCUUUCAGAAAAUUUAACCUUCUUUGGUUAAACCACCCAUCUUUGUUUGGUUUGUAUCAGAUACUUUCAUUUUUAAAGAGCAGCUUACAGGUUGUUGAUUAAAAGUGCAAUGAUAAUUCAUCAUCAUGAUUGUA
rnacentral:lncRNA from 1 species